rnacentral:tRNA from 1 species
GCUAGCGUGGCAGAGCCCGGCAAGUGCAAAAGGCUUAAGCCCUUUACCCAGAGGUUCAAAUCCUCUC